rnacentral:lncRNA from 1 species
GGGCAAGAAAGGGAGCUGGAUGAUACACAAAGAUUCAGACACCCACGUGUGCACUCUGUGGACAGAACUUCCACCAAGGCCUGGCAGGGGUCAGUGGGGCAGGAGGAUGUGAAUUUUAGGACCAAGUCCCUUUGGUGUUGGGGCUUGUGGCUGUCUGAAUGGAAGUAACCAUGAUGCCUCCUGUUUUAUUCUGCAACUCUGUGCCAGGAGUUGGGCUGAUGUCAGCAAUACUGAGGUAGAAAACAAACGUUCCUUGCCCUUGAGGAGGUUAUGGUAUGGUGGGGAAGUCAGAGAGCACAGGGGAUGAGCAGGGUCGAGGGAAGACCUCGUUCCUGAGUCCCGGGAGAGCAGAAAGGGGACAGGGGAGGAGCAUUCACGGAUGUGGGAAUGGCACAGGGUGGGAGAUCAUGGCGAGUGCAGGGGCCACCAAGGAGCACGGCGGCUGAGACACCAAGCACAUGGGCAGUGGGGGUGGCAUGGUGGGGAGAAGGGGCAGAGAGGAGGGCGCUGCUCCUACAGCCACACGGACCAUGGGGAACCACAGGCUGUGUUAAGGUGAGUGACUUGAUCAGGCUGGCCCUGUGGCUGGUUAGGGCAGCCCAAGCUGUAGGAAGGAUGCAAGAGGGGAAGGCUAAUUAUCACAAGCUGGGGGUAUCUCUUUAUUUGUUGAAAAGGAGUUUCACUCUUUCGCCCAGGCUGGAAUGAAGUGGCGUGAUCUCAACUCACUGCAACCUCCGCCUCCCAGGUUCAAGUGAUCUUCUGCCUCAGCCUCCCCAGUAGCUGGGAUUAUAGGUGCCCGCCACCAUGCCCAGCUAAUUUUUGUAUUUCUAGUAGAGAUGGGGUUUCACCACGUUGGCCAGGCUGGUCUCGAACUCCUGACCUCAGGUGAUCCACCUGCCUCAGCCUCCCAAAGUGCUAGGAUUACAGGCCUGAGCCACCGCACCCAGCUGGAGGUCUCUUUGAAGGUCCUCUGGGGAUCCCCAGAGCUGUGUGUUUCUUGGCUCUAACCUCUGCAGAUAUGGGGAAUGCUUUUCCAACAUGAAAGCCAGAACUUUUCCAGGGCUGAUCCUUUUCAAACAACUCAUUUCCUCUCCUUUUCCUCUGGGUUCCCAGCUACUAUGCCAAUCCACCUCCAUCUUUUUCCCCAACAUCCUCCCUCAGAAGUGGAUCCGCAUUCACUCCCCUUCUCUUAGCUGCCUUUACCUUCAAUUCAUCCUAGACAAGAGGGCCCCUCCUCCCCAUCCUUAACGGCAAAAGCAAAAGCCCCAACAAACUCAAGCACCUUCUGUGUCUUUGCUCUAUUCUCACCAACUCAAAUUAUUAAAACCAAGAUUUUCUGCCCACUGGGGAGUUAAGGUAAGACGAUGCCUCAGUCAAGGAAAAGAGUCCUGCAGGGCAUCCCUGGACCAGGAAAAGGAACAGCUAAUGGGGAGCUUAACAGCUAAUUCCAGCCAAGGAAAUGGAAACCUCUGCCUUGUCACUCACUCACAGCUAAGGCUGCCACGGCAACCCACUGAGCAGGAAUAACACCCAGCUACUGUGGAAACACUCAGAAGAAACGCAGAUGCAGUCAAUAGGUGAAAACAGCAUGAAAAAGUGGAAACUCCCAACUGAGUGUCUUUUUUUGUUUUUUUGAGACAGGGUCUCGCUCUGUUGCACAGGCUGGAGUGCAGUGGCACGAUCAUGGCUCACUGCAGCCUUGACCUCCCGGGCUCAAGUGAUCCUCCCACCUCAGUGCCCCCCAGGUAGCUGGGAUGACAGGUACGCACCAUCAUGCCCAGGCAAAACUGAGUGUCUAUCCUGGAGAGAUAUCAGAAACCACAACUCACAGGCAAAAAUACCCAUAUGAGCUGCUGGCUUUGGCACUGUUUGCUGGUUAGCGUUACAAAUCCAUCAUUCUCCAUGGCCACCCAGAGGUAUGUGCAACUACUGAACGACCCCCUGAUGAGAUAUGCACAUCUGUGGGAACCAUUUCAGCGAUUUCCUAGAUAGAAUAUUCAUAUAAAUGGUCAAAAACUUUUCCUGGGCUGGGUGUGGUGGCUCACACCUAUAAUAUCAGCACUCUGGGAGGCCGAGGUGGGAAGAUCUCUUGAACCCAGGAGUUCGAGACCAGCCUGGCCAACAUAGUAAGACCUCAUCUCUACAAAAAAUAAAAAAUUGCUCUCCCUCUCCCUCUCCCUCUCCCUCUCCCCACGGUCUCCCUCUCCCUCUCUUUCCAGGGUCUCCCUCUGAUGCCGAGCCGAAGCUGGACUGUACUGCUGCCAUCUCGGCUCACUGCAACCUCCCUGCCUGAUUCUCCUGCCUCAGCCUGCCGAGUGCCUGCGAUUGCAGGUGCACACUGCCACGCCUGACUGGUUUUCGUAUUUUUUUGGUGGAGACGGGUUUCACUGUGUUGGCCAGGCUGGUCUCCAGCUCCUAACCGCGAGUGAUCCGCCAGCCUCGGCCUCCGGAGGUGCCGGGAUUGCAGACGGUGUCUGGUUCACUCAGUGCUCAAUGGUGCCCAGGCUGGAGUGCAGUGGUGUGAUCUCGGCUCGCUACAACCUCCACCUCCCAGCCGCCUGCCUUGGCCUCCCAAAGUGCCCAGAGUGCAGCCUCUGCCCGGCCGCCACCCCAUCUAGGAAGCGAGGAGCGUCUCUGCCUGGCCGCCCAUCGUCUGGGAUGUGAGGAGCCCCUCUGCCUGGCUGCCCAGUCUGGAAAGUGAGGAGCGUCUCUGCCCGGCCGCCAUCCCAUCUAGGAAGUGAGGAGCGCCUCUUCCCGGCCGCCAUCCCAUCUAGGAAGUGAGGAGCGUCUCUGCCCGGCCGCCCAUUGUCUGAGAUGUGGAGAGCGCCUUUGCCCCGCCGGCCCGUCUGGGAUGUGAGGAGCGCCUCUGCCCGGCCGCGACCCCGUCUGGGAGGUGAGAAGCGUCUCUGCCCAGCCGCCCCAUCUGAGAAGGGAGGAGACCCUCCGCCCGGCAACCGCCCUGUCUGAGAAGUGAGGAGCCCCUCCGCCCGGCAGCCACCCCGUCUGGGAAGUGAGGAGCCUCUCCGCCUGGCAGCCGACCCGUCCGGGAGGGAGGUGGGGGGUCAGCCCCCGCCAGGCCAGCCGCCCCGUCCGGGAGGGAGGUGGGGGGGGUCAGCCCCCCGCCCGGCCAGCCGCCCCGUCUGGGAGGUGAGGGGCGCCUCUGCCCAGCCGCCCCUACUGGGAAGUGAGGAGCCCCUCUGCCCAGCCAGCCGCCCCGUCCGGGAGGGAGGUGGGGGGGUCAGCCCCCCGCCCGGCCAGCCGCCCCGUCCGGGAGGUGAGGGGCGCCUCUGCCCGGCCGCCCCUACUGGGAAGUGAGGAGCCUCUCUGCCCGGCCAGCCGCCCCGUCCGGGAGGGAGGUGGGGAUGUCAGCCCCCCGCCCGGCCAGCCGCCCCGUCCGGGAGGGAGGUGGGGGGGUCAGCCCCCCGCCCGGCCAGCCGCCUCGUCCGGGAGGUGAGGGGCGCCUCUGCCCGGCCGCCCCUACUGGGAAGUGAGGAGCCCCUCUGCCCGGCCAGCCACCCCGUCCGGGAGGGAGGUGGGGGGGUCAGCCCCCUACCCGGCCAGCCGCCCUGUCCGGGUGGUGAGGGGCGCCUCUGCCUGGCCGCCCCUACUGGGAAGUGAGGAGCCCCUCUGCCCAGCCACCACCCCGUCUGGGAGGUGUGCCCAACAGCUCAUUGAGAAUAGGCCAUGAUGACAAUGGUGGUUUUGUGGAAUAGAAAGGGGGGAAAGGUGGGGAAAAGAUUGAGAAAUCGGAUGGUUGCCGUGUCUGUGUAGAAAGAGGUAGACAUGGGAGACUUUUCAUUUUGUUCUGUACUAAGAAAGAUUCUUCUGCCUUGGGAUCCUGUUGAUCUGUGACCUUACCCCGCAACCCUGUGCUCUCUGAAACAUGUGCUGUGUCCACUCAGGGUUAAAUGGAUUAAGGGCAGUGCAAGAUGUGCUUUGUUAAACAGAUGCCUGAAGGCAGCAUGCUCGUUAAGAGUCAUCACCACUCCCUAAUCUCAAGUACCCAGGGACACAAACACUGCGGAAGGCCUCAGGGUCCUCUGCCUAGGAAAACCAGAGACCUUUGUUCACUUGUUUAUCUGGUGACCUUCCCUCCACUAUUGUCCUAUGACCCUGCCAAAUCCCCCUCUGUGAGAAACACCCAAGAAUGAUCAAUAAAAAAAAUAAAAAAAUAAAAAAAAUAAAAAAUUACCCGGGUGUGGUGGCACAUGCCUGUAGUCCCAGCUGCCUGGGAGGCUGAGGUGGGAGCAUUGCUUGAGCUCAGGAGGUUGAGGCUGCAGUGAGCUAUGAUUGAGCCACUGCAUUCUAGCCUGGGUGACAGAGCAAGAACCAGUCUCAGAACAAACAAACAAACAACCCCCCUGCCCAACAAAAAACAAAAAUCAAAACCUUUUCCUGCAUUGCUUCACACCAGGGCUAAAACUAUGGUGAGGCAAAUGAGGCAUUUGCCUAAGGCACAAAAUUUAAGUGCCAAAAAACUCAUAAAUUAAGAGAAAAUAUUUUAGUGCAGUAUGUUAAAAAAAACAUUAAUGGAAAAAGGCACAUGAUGAACAAAAUAUCAAAAUCAUAAAUACAGACAGGAUCUGACCCUGCACCUGCAUGACACAUCUCUCUCAUCUCACCCUUGUCUCGGGCCUGUUAUGCACUAUAAGGGUAGGUAGACGAUAAAUUGCUGGAGGGCAGGGAUCCUGGCUGUCUUGGUCCCUACUGUAUCCUCAGGGCCUAAUACAGUGUUAGGCACAUACUAGGUGCUCAAUAAAUGCCUGUUAACUGGCUUAAAUGUGUAGUCAGUCAGUGGGUUUAUCCCUUCACUAGUUGGUUUGUUCACUCAAUUUCUCACUUGUUUGCUCACUCACUGUGUACUCUGGGUCUCCUGCAUACCAGGCACGGUGCUGGCAGGGAGAAGGGACAUAAAGAAUAAUAGCCUGUCUGUCUCUAGAUGGCCCUCCCAUUUUGAUGGACUGAACAUAGAGGAGCGAUGCUUGAAAUGAAGCAUGCAGAAACCCUCUCAGGAAGGGCUGCCAUGUUUGGGUGUACAGGUUGUAUACAGACCAAAUCCAUCAUUCACAAAAAUGACAAUGCACAUGGCUCCCCCUGCAGCUGUGCAGUAUAGCAGUCAGCCUACAGGGGUCCAAAGAAGAAGGAAGCUGAAUUUGGCCUGGUAGGGGCAGGUGCUGUGACACCAAAUGUUGAUGACAGAGCAGGAAAAGAGCCAGCGAGCUUGGGAGGCAAAAGGCUGUGAAAUAAAAGACUCCCUGAAGCCUCUGCUAUUUGGCCUCUGUCCCAGGGACAGUCCACAAAACACAUGAAGGAUCUGAUCACAUUUAUAGCAAGCCCAUAGAAUGUUAGGCUCUUUUUCUGGAAUGAAACGGACUUCUGAGUCUGGGAAAAAAAUUUGGACCAUGCAUUGAAGCCACCAACAGAGGCAAAGGACAUGAGCAGUCUAAUCUAAUACCAGCUAACCUAACUUUUUUGCAACUGGAAGAUCAUUUUCAUACAUAUUAUUUCAUUUGAGCCUCAAAAUAACCCUGGUACUAGAAGUUUCAGAAACCCUUAAUUUAGAGGGGCUGAGUUACUUGCUCAAGGUCAUGCAUGGGCUGACCAAGGACAAAAGUAGGGCUGGAACAUAGACUUUCAGAAUCCAAGGCCAGUGCCCUUGCUUCUGCGCUGUCUCCACAGGAAGAUGGGUUACAGCCUCUCCCUGUUGGCUCCUGAGAGCCCCAAAUCACCUUUGGGGUUUUUAGAACAACAGAAGGCCUUCGCUGCUCAGGCUCUGAUUCCUGAUCAAAUGACUCUCUGCUGGCAUAGCCCAGGGCACAAACAAAGCUUCUUUCAGUCCCUUGGCGCUGCAGAAGAGAGCACAUGAGAUCCCCUUCUCUCCACGUCCACAAAACCAUGCUGUGAAUCCUCACCAUGCCUGGCUCAUCUAAGACACCAUUGCCUCUUAUUCUGCGUACACGCCAUGGGCACAGCCUGGCUGCUCCUCCCCACUCUCUCCUGCCUGGGUCAUUCAUGCACUUGUGGGUCUUUGUGGCCACAGUGUGACCUCCUGCCAGUUAAAAAUUGAUGCAUUUAGGUAAAGGGUAUGCAGGUAUACUCUGUAUUCUUUUUUAUUUUUAUUUUUUUGAGAUAGGAUCCCGCCCUGUGGCCCAGGCUGGUGUGCAGUGAAGCAAUCACGGCUCACUGCCACCUCCAUGUCCUGGACUCAAGUGAUCCUCCUGCCUCACCCUCCAGAGUAGCUGGGACUACAGAUGCAUACCACCAUGCUUGGCUACUUUUUUAAAAAUUUAUUUUUUAUAGAGAUGGGAUCUCACUAUGCUGCCCAGGUUGGUCUCAAACUCCUGGGCUCAAGCAAUCCUCCUGCCUUAGCCUCCCAAAGUGCUGGCAUUAUAGGCGUAAGCCACCAUGCCUGGCCUUCUUUCAAAUUUUCUGUAAGUUUGAAAUUAUUUCAAGAUAAAAUUUUUUUAAGAAU